UUCCUUUGAAAUCAGAUUUGAAAAAAAGUUGGUAAUGAUGCUUUAUGGCCAAGAUCAGUCAAAAAUGAAGUUCAGGGGGUGCCUGGUUGGCUCAGUGGUUGAGGGUCUGACUUCAGCUCAAGUCAUGAUCCCCGGGUCCUGGAAUCGAGUCCCUCAUCGGGCUCCCCGCAGGGAGCCUGCUUCUCCCUCUACCUGUGUCUCUGCCUCUCUCUGUGUGUCUGUCAUGAAUAAAUAAAUAAAAUCUUAAGAAAAAAAAUGAAGCUCAGUAUAGGUUUCCUGAUCCAUGUGCCAAGCGCUUUGGGAGUGUGCGGAAAUGAGUCAGGCCUACCCUCUUCUCCCCUUGACAAGCCAAUGCUGUAAUCACAUGCUUUAUUUUAGUGACUUUAACUUGGGACUACAGGAGGAGUAGGGAUACUACUAUACUGUAUACUACCCACCAAAGGCUCCCUAAUUAUUUAAAUAGUAACAAGAUUGAAUCUGGAUAAAUGAUCAACUACUUCCCCUUGCCACAGCCUGCUUUUCCAACUUGGAAAAUCUCCAUUGAAUCUGAAAAGCCAAAGAGCAGAAACAUUUUUUGCUUAUUCUAAUUCAUGCCGUUAUGACAUUUUAUCCUGUUUCCUAGGUGUUAACCGAGGGCAAUAUGCUGAGGGCCUUGAAAAUGGCAUCUGGAAGCAGAGCAGUGUUUGUAAAAUCUCCUGUUACACCCCUCUUUUCACGAUGAGAUCUUGCAACCCUUAGAUACUCGAUUUGUUGGUGAGAUGAGGAAAGAUAGAGGGGCAGGAGGGUGAUCUGGCUGGUUCUAAAACCUUUGAUUUUUUUUUUUUUUUUCACCCCCUGGACUCGAGUACCUGAAGUUUGGUAAAACCAGGUUGACUCAGAGAGAUCUGUCUGUACCCUUUUUUUUUCUUUUACUGUAAAAUGCCUCUAACUAUGUGGCACCUCUAUGGGGAGACUGCAUAAACACCAGGCUUUCCCUAAUUCCUCUCGGUGACUUUAAAAUCAUUUGCAGGGUGGGGAUAGAGCUAAGGAUUUUGCUUAGACAAACUGUAUAUAUUUCAUUUUGCUUGUAGUGCCACCUUACUCCCUCAUGUAUUUACUCCUGUAGGUAAUAGAACUUAGGGAAGAGGAGGUAAAAUGAUUUUAAAGGAAAUGGAACAGGAUGUCCCUGGGGGUAACUUAGAACUUUAAACUUAUUUUUUUGGUGUGGAGAUGAGUUGGGAUCUGCCUCAAUCUGAAUUUUCUAUUUAGAUUUUAAAAUGCCCUUCCAAGAUCAAAGAGUCUGAUCAGAUCUCCAUUGGAGUUCUGAAAUCAAAUAGCAUUUUCCGUAUUCCAUUGGAAUUCCAGUUGGUGAUAGAAAUUUCAGAACCAGAGCUUGAGACAUCUUCUUUUUUUUUAUUUUUUAUUUUUUUAUUUUUUUAUAUAUAUAUUUUUUGAGACAUCUUCUAAAUCAUGUUCUGUUUCAUGUAGGUUUUGGUCCAGGAAACUAGGUGGAUACUACCAAAGUAGAUGGGAUACUGGAUUCUAAACUUUUAAAGCUGUUUAUUUUUGCAGGUCAACACAAAAUAUACUGAGAAGUUCUUCUCCCUAGAAUAAGAAUUUCUUAUGGAAAGGAAUGUAUUUAGUCCUGUACCUUAAGUCCCGGAGGAUUAAGCAACUUGUUCUAGAUUGUAUGCAUGAUGGAUAGUACCUGUUACAUCUGUAAAUAACUAUUAUGGCUUCUGGUAAUCACACAGCCGUGGGGAGCAUGUAUGAUCGUGGCACAUAAAUAGGUCCAGAGUGUGACUUCCUAGUCCCAAGGCUUGAUCAAAUAAUGUGGCAUUGGCCCCACUUCUCCGUAUUUGUGCUCAAUAUAUUUUGGAGUGCUGGGAGGGGGAUAGGAUUUGGGGUGGUAAAUAGAAUAGUGACCAAAACAAGUACUUAAAAGCAUAGAAUUCAGAGUAUGAAUAUAGGAAGGGAGGAAGUAUUGCCUUAGUGGUGAGUUCUGUUGUAUAGAAGAUUUUUUUUUUUUUUUUUUCCCCAUUACACUGUUGGAGAAGAGUUUGCCUCAGAAAGUGAAUAAUGCAAUCUGGUGCAAAUCAUUGCCUGAUUUGAGAUAAAAGAAGCAUCACUUGGAACUUAGUAGUGGCCCUCCCACCUUGCUGUGCACUAGAAUCACCUAGAGAGCUUUAAGUAUUAGAAUCCCCUGGAAAGCUUUAAUGAGCACUGCGCCUGGGUCCCACCACCAGAGAUUCUGAUGUACUAGGCCUGUGGUGGGUGCCGGGCAGCAGGGUGUAUCAAAGCUUCCCAGGUUUUCCUAAUGUGCAGCCCAGGUUGAGGACGGAUUGGUUUGUCCGUGGUCUCCAGCUGGUGCUUUGGGUUCUUGGCUCCAAAGUGGAUGAAGUUUCCAAGACUCAUUCCCAUAAGCUUUUUUUUUUUUUUUCCCAUUACAAACUCCUCUUACUGAACUAACAUUCAAUUGAUAAUUUCAACCUACGCACCCAGGAUUUUCUUUUUUAUAAGCAAAAAUGGUCCAAAGGUGGCCUUUGCUUCUCUGAUUAAAUAUUGUAGCAAGGUUUCUAUGAGUUUAUUUUGAAUCCUACCAAUCCUACCAACUUAAUAUGAACGUGGAUAUAUGUUUCUAUAGAAAAACAAAUCUCCAAUUAGCUGGAAGCUUUUGACCAGAGAAAGGCUUGAGGCAUAUAUACUGUACUAACCAACUUCCAGAGAAUUUUCCAAAUUCUGCAUCUCCUUUGAUUCGUUUGUUUUCUGCAGCCUCCCAGAUGACAAGACUUGCUCCUGUGUUGAGGCUCAUUUACUUGUAAUCUUUAAUCACUAGCCCCUAGAUAGGCCUGCAUCAAUCUUGGCCAAAUCUCUAUCUCUUGCUGGUAUCUGAGAACUUACUAGCACCAGCCCUGGACCAGUAGGACCUUGAUUCUAGAGAGUUCUAGAUGGAGGCAUUAGAGCCAGGUCUAAUUGAGAUGUUAUAGAAACUGGUCUUUAAAACUAUUUUGCUUUAAAAAAAAAUAAAAAAUAAAAAUAAAACUAUUUUGCUCCAGUAAAAUAUUUAUGAAACUUUACUGAAUAGGCAGUAGUGAUACAGUCACAGGUUUCAUCAGUGUUUCUUUUCUUGCAUACAUGGUUUCCUGGUUUGAAAAAACAACACAAUUUCUGACCACGGCAGAUCCAGCACCCGACACAUCCCUGAUUGAUGUUACAGAAGACUUCUUUGACACAGCCUUGAUUAUUUCCAGGAGUAGUAGUAAAGGGAAAAUUCAGAUGUUGGAUUCCUUCAUAUUUGCCUUAGGAUUUCUGGUGACAGAAAAGACUGUAAAUCAUUCGGUCAAACAGGAGGCUUUGAAAACUUUGAACUCCCUUUUGCAUGCCAUGCCUCAGGAAGAGAGAAGACGACUCCCCUUGUUGGAAGGCCCAUAUCGUCUUAUGAAAGACCUUGCAGGAACAAUCUUGACUGUGGGUGAUUAUGACCAGCAAGUUGCUCUUUCUGAAGCAUUGUGUAGACUGACCUUGAAAAAAUCAAGGGGUGGCCUUGUCCAUGAGUGGUUUGAAGAUGAUGUCAUUGCUGAAGCUUUCAAAGAAAUUAAGGAUCGAGAAUUUGAGACGGAUUGUAGACUGUUUCUCAAUCACCUAAACAACAGACUUGGUGAUGAAAGAAAGGUCUUUUCAUUUCCAUGUAUUGCUGCUUUUGCUGAUGGGCAUGAGAUGAAAAAACCAGAAGAUGAAAAACUAGAGAAAUUUUGGAUUGAUUUCAACCUCGGAAGUCAGAGUAUAACUUUUUAUAUAAACAAUACUAAGAGUGCUCUGUGGGAUUCAGUAAGACUUUUGAAGGAAGCAGUGAAUAAUUUCAGUGUAAGAGAAACAGAAAAUAUGAAGAUCCUCAUCAUUUUCCUCAAGAAGCCUAUUAAUGUUGGCAACAAAGAAGUGAUGAAAAUAGAAAUCCAUUUUGAUUUGCAAUUCAACAUAUCACAGACUUCCAUUAAAGCUUUAGGAGAAGACAAACAGAUAUUGCCCCAUCAGACAAGAAGCUUCUCAGAACUUUCUGACCAAACAGAGGACUCCACCAGGCUGGCGGAGUUAACGAGUGCCGGAGAUGACCACAGCCCAAUAACUCUCCCCUUAAAUGACCAGCCUGAGCCUGUCCAAACAAAUACAGCAGAUAGUUCACCUGAAAAAUUGAUACUGGAUGACUUACAACAAGUCACUUCAGAACAUGAACAUUCUUCAGAUUUACAAGAACUGUCAGUAAGAAGUCCGAAUCCUAAAUUAAAUGACAAAUCUAGGACAGAUUCUGCUUCCGAGGGUGAGAGAAAACGAAAAACAAGGAUAUUGUUUAAUUAUAGGAAACACCUCUUCUCGGAUAGUAAUCAAGAUUCGAGUACUAGUACCAGUGAACGAUCUUGGACCAGUAACCAAAAAAAGAAAUCCCUAAAACCGUAUUCUAGUAGGAAAAAGACAAGAACCAGAAAUAGUGUAAGACUUUUGCUAUUUACCCCUCCCAGCAGUGGCAGUGAGCAUGAGAAAGACCAUGUAAAACCUCUAACACCAUUAUGGAAAGAUACCUCCAAGCAGAGUAACUCCAUGCCUCCAGAAGUUUCUGGAGAUUCUCCUGAAGAUUCUGUUCAGAAAACAGAACUUCAAAGUCCCCACCCACUGAGCGAUCUGUCUUCCUUGGAACACUCAGAAGUUGAAGAAAAUGUAUCUAAGACUGUAGACCAAGAGUCAUUGAUGAAGAGUACUAGCUUCAAACACAAACUGCAAAACUUGGAAGACGGAGACCUAUCAGAUGGCAGCUUUGCUAAGUCAAAACAGUCAAAAUUGGAAGAAGGGUCUGCUCCAGAGCCUCUCUGUUCAGUGACAGAAGAGACAGAUGUAGCAGAAGGCAUUGCUGCUCCAUCCCUGGCAGUUGUGCCAGAGAACUUGAGUGAUUCUGCUAUUAUCACAGCCCUGGAAAACUUCACUCAAGAACUGAAAAGAAAAUCUGAGCUUAGGUACAGAGGGAGUCCACUUUAUUCAAAUAAUGCAAAGCAAGCACCAGAUUGCUUAAUCCAGCUUUUAAACCAGAUACAUCAAUGCAGACUGAAUAAACUAGAGAAGUUUCACAAUUUUAUUCUUCAAGAGUUGAGCAAUCUUGAGAAGGAUAUUCAGGCUCUGAAACACCUUGAGGAGGAUGUUCUGGAAUUUUGGGGGAAACAGUCUGAUGAUUUGAAAUCAUUCUGUGAUCGGCAAGUGCUAAGGCUUAAUCCAGAUCAGCCUUCAUGAGGAAAGCCAAAGCCCCGUGUCACUACUGCAUUCAUGGGAAAAUCAUCCUAGCUGCCAUGUUGAAAGUUAACUGGAAAAGUGAGAAGCAGAAGAGGGGAGCUGAACUGGAUGAUGGACUUGGGAGAUGUCUGAGCCACCUGGAGAUGAUAAAUCUGGCUUGGACCACACAGUGGUGCUUUAGUGCUCUGGCUUCUUGAUUUUGCUUCACUCCAAAUGGGAUCCCUGAGAACUGCUGCGUCGGAAUAGAAUGGAAUAGGCUGGUAGUUUGCAGUUGUGUUAUUGUCCAUUUGUUCCCAAAGUUAACCUUCUGUAUCAAAGUGUAGCCAGAAAAUAGGAGGUUCAGGAUGUUUACCAACUUAAGAGUAUUGCUUUAAAAAAAAUUUUUUUUAAGUAAAAUUGAUUUUGAGAACGGUUCUCAAGUUAUAUGGGGGGGAAAAUCUGAACAUCUGUAUACAUGCUAUUUGUUUAUCUCUUUGGGGGAGAAUUUAAUUUGUGAUGAAAAUAGCUCAGAUGAAAAUGGUGUUGUAUUUUGAAAUAGUUAUUAUUUCACUUGAUCUACAAAUAUUCUAGUUUUUCCAGCACAUUCACAAAACUACUAGCUUUAGCAGAGGAGAAAUACUCAUGUGAUAAUUAUAAAGGCUCCAAUAAAGCCUGCAUGUAUGAA